AUGCUCCUCUUCGCUCCCACCCCGCCGCCGUCGCCGGCCACCGCUCACCGGCGACCGGGUGGCAGCGCUGCCUCGUGCAUCCGCUGCUCGAGCGUGCGCGAGCUUGAUAGGUCCCCGAGCCGCCCGCCGCUACCGCCGCUGGCGGAGGCGAAGCGGGUGGUGCUGGUGCGGCACGGGCAGAGCACCUGGAACGCGGAUGGACGCAUCCAGGGGAGCUCCGACUUCUCCGUGCUCACGCCCAAGGGGGAGUCCCAAGCGGAGACCUCCCGCCUCAUGCUCCUCGCCGACUCCUUCGACGCCUGCUUCACCAGCCCGCUCGCCCGGUCCCGCCGCACCGCGGAGAUCAUCUGGGACAGCCGCGAUAAGGACCUCAUCCCGGACUACGACCUCCGCGAGAUCGACCUCUAUUCCUUCCAGGGGCUCUUGAAGCAUGAAGGGAAGGAGAAGUACGGGGCUCUGUUCCAGCAGUGGCAGAAGAAUCCAUCAGACUGCAGCAUCGAUGGGCACUACCCAGUGCGGGAGCUCUGGGACCGAGCGCAGGGCUGCUGGGAGAGGAUCCUGACACACGAGGGCAAGUCAGUUCUUGUGGUUGCCCACAAUGCAGUUAACCAAGCGCUCGUUGCCACAUCCUUGGGACUUGGCACCGAGUACUUUCGGACUCUGCUCCAAAGCAACUGUGGCGCUAGUGUGCUGGAUUUCACCCCACAGCCCGGCGGACGCCCUCCAAGUGUGUGCCUUAACCGCUUAAAUCAGACCCCGAACUCUCCUAUUUCUGCCGAAAGUUCUGCAGGUAGAAAGUCGAGCAAGCGGAUCAUUCUAGUUUGUCAAGGGGCUACACAGAGCAGUUCUGAGGGUAGUUUAGGCGGAGUGGGUUAUGCACCGCUGAACAUGCUGGGUGUUAUACAGGCUCAGAAGACCGCGGAACUACUUCUAGAUCUGAAGGUGAACAGUAUUAUCUGUAGCCCACAAGUCGCAGCUGUUGAUACUGCAACUGCCAUAUGUGAGGUCCAAGAGGCUGCUGAUUGCUUAGGUGCUGACUGUGUGCCUCGUUACGUUGAAAUGAAGAAUUUGUUCGGACUCGAAAUUGAUGAUGCCUUUCUAACAAAGCAAAAGAGCCUUGAACAGAUAGUUCAGUCUGGUUGGAUGGGCGGCAUGGAACACCAAAAGCUUAAGACAUUGUGGGCUCAGUCCGAGGAUGCAUGGCAAGCUUUGGUAAACGAAUUGCCAGAUGAUGAUGGCGCUGAUUCAGACCGAGUCGUUGUCGCUAUCGGCCAUCCUGCCAUCCACCUGGCACUGCUCUGCAGGUGUCUGGACCUAACAAUGGAUUACAUGCCGUCUUUCCAUCUGGACGACGGCAGCAUCAGCGUGAUCGAUUUCCCGGAUGGGCCGAAAGGAGGAGGCAUCGUCAGAUGCACCAAUUACACGGCCCAUUUGGGCAGAUGGUCGGUACCCAUCACAAAAUCAACAGAAAACAAUGAUGAAUUCUGA
rnacentral:rRNA from 1 species